UCUGGGGAGUAGAACAUUCCAGCAAGGGAACAACUUGUGCUUAAAGUGUGGAGGAAACCUUAAGGAACUUCCAAAUAUAGCAAGCCGGACACAGUUCCACCACUGAGAAAUACAGGCUGCUCCUUCCUCCUCUUCAAUCUCUCCGACACACCAUCCACAGUCCCACACACACAGUGAAAGGACGGGUCUCUCACUGCACACACCACUUAUCAUCACUUGUUAUUACGAAGACACGGCUUCACUUCGUCAGUCCACGACCUCGCUGCCGGGAUGCAGAGAAUCCCCAGGACCUUCCUAUGAAGGAGUUUAUAGGACAUGCCCCGCUCUCUUGGGACAAGAACAGCAGGAGCAAGUCGGUGUCUAAGGGCGGGACUGAGAGACAGGACGAAGACAGAAACACAGUGUUCUAAGGGCACUUCUGCUCCCACGGCAAGUGGUAAAGUUAUGCCACAAAUCCAGGGUGCCUAGCAUCUGGCACUUACUGAAUGGCCUACAUUGAAUCGUGUUAAACUUAUACUUGAGGAACAGGAUCUGAGACAAAGACACUGAGAGAUGCAGAAACUGAAGUGGAUGCCGGCAAGACACCACGCCAGGAAACCCGCCCUCUGGCAGAUAACUGUCAUGGCUGUAAUUCGGUACAAAGGAAACUGACUCGUUAAUUCUCAACAAACUGAAAGCAUCUUGAGAUAAGAUCCUGUCGUCCCUGGAUUCCUCACCUUGCCCAGAGCCCAACAGAGCUCCUGGAAUGAUGUUCGAAUUGCCCAGAAAGGAGUCCUUCAGACUCUGGCAGGCGAGGAAAUGUUCCAAGGCCAGCACUACAAAAGGACUCGAGAUCAGAUGGGCCCAGCCAGCAUCAUUUCACGCUCCACAUUGAUUUUCACGUGGCACUUGAUUUUUGUCAACACAUACACAUCGAAAACUCAAUUUCAAAAUGAUAAGAUGUCAUAGAGAAGAAUGUAGAGUGCUCUGGAGUUGAAACUCUGAACUGUUCCAAGUUAGUAGUUGUAUCUAUCAGAUGUUGAGUAUCACUGUGUUUACAUCAAAAACAUCAAACACGACAGCACCUCUGUCGAUUUGGUGUGGUGUCCCAGGUUCGAGAACCACAGGCUUCACACAACCCACUUUUGUUUAGCCUACCAUCUGAACCUGGACUUGCAUUAAGCUUUGAGCUACAGACAGUCUAUUGGGAUCUCAAGCAUCCUUACCAUUGCUCUCCUACAACUCAGCACCUUACUGCAUUUACCAAGUAUAAUUAACUUCACAUUCUGAAUCAUAGAAUCAGAACAUUGACUCGGGAUCUAAGAUCUAAGAUGAUGGGCAGCACUGGUUAGCAGAGAUUCGUACUGAAAGUACAAGGCACUGUAUUUUUAUAUGUAUAAUUUCCCGGUCAGCAAGACACAGUAUUUUUAAUUUUGUAUGCCAUUAGACAAUGCUAUAGAAGUAACUCAAUACAGUUUGUGGCUGCUUCCAGACAGCUGAGUAAGGGCCUGAGUAUUAACAGCUGUCAAAUGAGUGUUCUGUGCCUCCGCACCACCCCCGCCCCAGACGAGUCUUUGAAGGAUUCAAUCAGUAUAAAGUCAGAAUGUCAAAGAAAGAGGCCAGAGCAGGUAAUAUGACAAACGGAUGUUGGUCUUAAGUAAGCUGACUAGCUAUUAAUUCACAAAACAGUCUGAAAAGAUUUGUGAUGCAAGCUGACUUCUGUCUAGACAGAGAAGGGAGUGUAAAACACAUUAGACAGAUACAACACAGCAGUGACAAGAAAAACCUGUUUUAGUUUCUCAAAUGCAUUAGGAGAGAAUCUGCUAGGUCCUUCUUUAUCUUAAUAUCUAAUCCCUAAUGGGGCUACAGCUAGGUACUAGUGAAUUUCAACUUUAUUUCUAGAGCUUCAACACAUCUUACACGGGUUUUUAAAAAACGAAGAAGAGUAAAGAGAUAAAAAGAAGGAAGGAGGGAAAAGGAGAGAUGAAAAGAGAG